UACGUAGGGACCAAGCGUUGUUCGGAUUUACUGGGCGUAAAGGGCGCGUAGGCGGCAAAUUAAGUCAGCUGUGAAAUCUCCGAGCUUAACCCGGAACUGUCAGCUGGAUACUGAUGUGCUAGAGUGCGGAAGGGGCAAUCGGAAUUCUUGGUGUAGCGGUGAAAUGCGUAGAUAUCAAGAGGAACACCUGAGGUGAAGACGGGUUGCUGGGCCGUAACUGACGCUGAGGAGCGAAAGCGUGGGGAGCGAACAGG
rnacentral:rRNA from 1 species